rnacentral:misc_RNA from 1 species
UCCGGUUUGGCACCGGCAGUCUUUCCAGAGUCCCCGGCAUUACCCGCUGGCAACUGAAAACGGGGGUUGCGCUCGUUGCGGGACUUAACCCAACACCUCACGGCACGAGCUGACGACAGCCAUGCAACACCUAUCGCAGGCCCUUACGGACACCGCGUUUCCACGGCUUUUCCUGCGUAGUUCAGCCCAGGUAAGGUUCUUCGCGUUGCAUCGAAUUAAGCCACAUGCUCCGCCGCUUGUGCGGGUCCCCGUCAAUUCCUUUGAGUUUUAGCCUUGCGGCCGUACUCCCCAGGCGGGGUGCUUAAAGCGUUAGCUACGGCACGGAACGGGUCGAUCCCCGCCCCACACCUAGCACCCAUCGUUUACGGCGUGGACUAC